rnacentral:rRNA from 1 species
UACGGGGGGGGGUAAGCGUUGUCCGGAAUUAUUGGGCGUAAAGAGCUUGUAGGCGGUUUGUCGCGUCUGCUGUGAAAUUUCGGGGCUCAACCCCGAACUUGCAGUGGGUACGGGCAGACUAGAGUGUGGUAGGGGAGACUGGAAUUCCUGGUGUAGCGGUGAAAUGCGCAGAUAUCAGGAGGAACACCGGUGGCGAAGGCGGUUCUCUGGGCAUGUCCUGACGGCUGAGGCACGGAAGGUCAGGGGAGCAAACGGG